UUCCCUGUGGCUCAGUUGGUAGAGCAUUGCGAUAACAAAGCAAAGGCUGUGGGUUCAUAUCCCAGGGAAA
rnacentral:tRNA from 1 species